GAAAUGCGAUAAGUAGUGUGAAUUGCAGAAUUCAGUGAAUCAUCGAAUCUUUGAACGCACAUUGCGCCCUAUGGCAUUCCGGGGGGCAUGCCUGUCCGAGCGUCAUUACGCACCCUCAAGCCCGGCUUGUGUGAUGGGCCCUGGCGUCUCGUUCGCGAGACGGGCCCGAAAGGCAGCGGCGGCGUCGACCCGAUGAGCCCGAGCGUAUGGGGACUUUUGUCACACGUUUGCGGUGCGGACCGGCGCCUGCUUGACUUUUCUGAUUAUCCAGGUUGACCUCGGAUCAGGUAGGGAUACCCGCUGAACUUAAGC
rnacentral:misc_RNA from 1 species